AUCUAUACGAGAAGUUUCUGGAGCUCUUUGACGAACCAGAGAAAGCUACUCUCUCAGAAGCAGGCGCAGCAGACAACAAGGUAGACCACAUGAAGCAAAUUGUCGAAGAAGCUGCCAGGAGAAUGAAUGAAGGAGGAUCGAAUUCUGAUGAACCUCCAUCCAACGAUGCUUCAGUCGAGGGGGAGCCAAGCUCACAUGUUGAGGGGGAGCCAAGCUCUACAACUGCUACCGAAAGUCCAACUGCAACCGAAAGUGCUUCUCCAACCGAAGGUGCAUCAACGCCUGAAAGUCCAGCACCACAAGAAACCUCUGAACCUCAAGUUUCUCAUAGCUCAUCAAUCGAGGGGGAGCAUGGUGAUAUGUCACUUGACUACGAAAGCCAAUCCGAGCCAGAAGAAAUGAUCAAUGCUGAACUAGACCCAACCUUUGAUCCAAACUAUCCUCCUCUUACCAAAUGGACCAGAGAUCAUCCUAUCUCUCAAGUGGUUGGUGAUGUCUCCGAAAAGGUUCUGACCCGAUCACAACUGAAGGCAAAACAGACAUCCUUAUUUUCAAAGGUUGAGUUUUGUAUGUUUAACUCAUUCGUAUCAAAAGUUGAACCGAAGACAGUUAACACUGCUCUCGAUCACUCCGAUUGGGUUCAAGCGAUGCAAGACGAACUGAACGAAUUUGAAAGGAACAAAGUCUGGCGCCUCAUUCCAACUCCUCCAGAUGCCUCGGUUGUUGGUCUCAAAUGGGUCUUUAGGAAUAAAAUGGACAAGGAAGGGAAUGUUAUAAGGAACAAAGCUCGUCUGGUAGUAAAGGGAUAUUGUCAGGAGGAAGGGAUUGAUUAUGAAGAGACUUUCGCUCCCGUAGCUAGGCUGGAAUCUGUUAGAAUAUUUCUUGCUUACGCUGCCCACAAAAACUUUGAAGUUUUCCAAAUGGACGUCAAGUGUGCAUUUCUUAAUGGAGAACUCGAAGAAACCGUGUAUGUGGAGCAACCUCCUGGGUUCGUGAACGAAAAAUAUCCAAAUCAUUGCUACAUUCUGGAUAAAGCUGUGUAUGGCCUCAAACAAGCUCCGAGAGCCUGGUAUGAAACGCUAACUAAAUUCUUAAAGAUGUCUAAAUUCAAACAAGGUUCGGUUGACCCAACCUUCUUUCGCAAAAAGGAAGGUAACCACCUUAUGAUAGUUCAAAUUUAUGUCGAUGACAUCAUCUUUGGCUCUACGAAUCCCAGCCUAACAGCUGAAUUCAGAAAGCUGAUGGAGACUAAAUUUGAAAUGAGCUCAAUGGGUCCUAUUAACUUUUUCCUUGGUUUAAAUAUUAGACAGGGACCCGAAGGCAUCUUUAUCAAUCAGGAAGCUUACACGAAGACUCUCCUAGCAAAGUUUGGUAUGAUGGGAGACUCCAAAGUCAAAGUCCCAAUGGCAUUCGGCACCAAGCUAACUCCAUCUCUAGACAAACCGGCUGUUGAUAUCACGCUCUAUCGUCAAAUGAUAGGCUCACUAAUGUAUCUUACUGCUAGCAGGCCUGACAUCAUGUUUUCUGUGUGUUAUUGUGCUCGAUUUCAGGCAAACCCACGCGAACCUCACAUGCUUGCAGUGAAGAACAUUUUACGCUAUCUCAAGCGAACCACCUCCUUAGGUCUAUGGUAUCCUUCCAACUCAGGCUUCUUCGUUCAAGCCUAUUCAGAUGCUGACCUUGGAGGAUGUGGACUCGACAGAAAAAGCACCACUGGUGGCUGUCAAUUCCUUGACGGGAAGUUGGUUAGCUGGCAAUCCAAGAAACAAACGUGCGUGUCGUUGUCUACUGCCGAAGCGGAAUACAUAGCCGCUGCAUCCUGCACCUCUCAAGUGAUUUGGAUCCAGAGUCAACUUCGAGACUAUGGACUCAAUAUGAAGAAGAUCCCACUAUAUUGUGACUCUGAAAGUGCAAUUAGGAUCUGUCAUAACCCAGUGCAACACUCUAAAACCAAACACAUAGCACUGAGGUAUCACUUCAUCAAAGAUCACGUGGAAGAUGGAAACGUCGAAGUUCACUUCGUAAGAACCACUGAUCAACUGGCUGACGUCUUUACCAAAGCUCUUCCUGAAGCAUCAUUCAACAGAAUAUUGCAAGGGCUAGGUAUGAUGGAAUCAGAGUCAGUACCUCACACUACCUCUCAACCUCAAACGUAAGAAGCGAAACCAACCGAACGUUCGGGUUCGGUUAAACCAUCUGACUCGCUCAUCACUUCAAAGGUAGUUUUUCUUGGUUGUAUAUUUCUUGUACAAAAUUGUUUUUCUUAGUGUUGAAAAUAUUUUACAAUUUCAUGUCUAAAAUCCUUGGUUUCUUAAAAUUUUCCAAAACCGAAACCUACCGAAGGUUCGGGUUCGGUUUCUCAAAAUUUUCCAAAACCGAAACCUACCGAAGGUUCGGGUUCGGUUUUUCAAAAUUUUGUUGAACCGAAACCAACCGAACGCUCGGGUUCGGUUUUUCAAAAUUUUCUGGAACCGAAACCAACCGAACGCUCGGGUUCGGUUUUUCAAAAUUUUUCCCAACCGAAACCAACCGAACGUUCGGGUUCGGUUUUUCAAAUUUUUUCCAAAGUUUUUUUUCUAAGUCUUAUUUUUUUUCUCUUAUUUUUUAAUUUUUUUUUCUCUUUUAUUUUUUAUUAUUUCUUUAAAUUAUCUCAAAAACUCGAAAUUUUUUUUUUUUUCGUGUGUUCGUUCAUUUAUGGGGGUAUAAAUGUUGGAUUACUUAAGUGUCCCUAGAAGCAUGCUGCUGUAUGUGUCCCAAGCCUCAUAAGAUUUUAAAUAAUAGCCUUCAUGACCAGGUAUAAACAAACCUUGUCUUCCCAAUAAGGCUACAACAUUUUUUCUAAUCAUGAGCUACCUCAUUCUCUUCUCACAUGAGUCAAGAGUUUUCUGCUUGGUCCUUCUUUUCGCAGCAGAGGUACUAUCAUUUCUUACACCAUCUCCAUUACAUUUCUCCAUCACAUUCGUUUCAUCAACGUAACCCUUGAGACUCUCAGAAAUUACCACUGAGGUUUAUGGUUACACAACAUCUGUGUUUAUGAUCUUAGUUUCAUGUCACUACGAGCUAAGUGAAACCCAACAUUCAACACAAAAUCUGAAUUGACGGUGAUCAAUUAAUUUGCUCAAGUUUUCACCAAAGAAUUCACGGAUGUACUCUCAUGAAAUCUCAAAUUUUAUUUUAUGUGAUUCCUAUGAAAUUGUUAAACACCAUAACAUUUCUUCCCUUGGGAUCCAGUUUUUAAUUUUAAAUUUUUUUUUAUUGAGAUCUUAUAUUUUUCAAGCCAAUUUAAUAUUAAUUCCCUCCUACUUGUUCAACAGACUACACCGGUCUCACAAGUACUUUGAUCACUUUCUUUCUUAUUUCAAGAUUAGAAUUGAUGCAUCAAAGCAAAAGCCACCCUAAAGUAGCUAAAUUAAAAGAAGCCUUUCAACAUUUCUUAAAAAGUGUUUGAUCGUAAUUCAACGGGAAUCCACAUUCACACUUUGAGGUCUCUCUUGAUCUUGAAAGAAGAGAUUCGUGCCCGGGAUCAUCAGUUUCGUGUCAAUAUUGACAUCACAGUAAAUCCUAAAAAGAGUUGCUUUAUUUCUUUUCUUUUUACACUCUUUGCACGAAAAUCUUUGAUUUUCCAAAAUUCCUUUACUAAUUAAUUUCAGGCAUAUUUAUUGCAUUGGUGGUUAAUAAUUAAGAUGUGGUCAACAAUCCUCCACUUGGGCAGUUUAUUCAAAAGUUGCGAUUCAAAAAGAUAAGACGAAGGGUUGCUGACUCAGGCGGGAAAUAAAAGGAUUGAAUUUCAACCGGUAGUAAAAAAGGGGCGCGUGUGAAUUUGAAACGUCCACUCUAUUACUGACAAAGUGGACGCGUGUGCGAAAUCCAAGCGUCAUCCCUCUGGCACUUAGUGGCGCGUGAGGAUUUGAAACGGUUUUCUUCUGAAACGGCGCUUGUUGGGCGGCGUGAUCCUAGGAAUCUGACACUCUCUCUCCUACGUGAUCAUCGCACGCCUCAACUGUCGCAUAUCUACCAUUCAGGAAACCUUUUCGUAUUUCCAUAGAAGAUUUUAGACGAUUUUUCUCUCUCCUUUCACCCACUAUAAAAGGCAGUCUUCACCACCAUUUACCUCUUUACUGCCUCCGAAAUUUCAAGAGAACAAAUACUCCCAAAAAGCACCCCUGUUCAUCAUCUUCUUCAAUCUUCAACAAUGGCAGAAUCAUCUUCCGUCCAUGCUACCUCACAAAUCCUUCCCAUUCGUCCACAACAAUGCCUGGUGAUCGACCUAAACCCUCUGGCGUACGACUCUUACAUGUCGUCGAUCAUCGAGUGCCUGAAGUACACCCAAAUAGCUCCAGCUCUCUCCAGGAUUGAGUCUGUGCCAAUGGUGGUUCUCUCACCGGUGUAUGCAACUGCCUAUUAUGACAAAGCCGUUGAGCGGGUGUUAUUCGAGGUUGCUGAUCACAAAACCUCAAUUUCUCGACAGCGUUUUGGUACUUUGAUUGGUUUGGCUGCUGACCCAUCGAGAAUUAAUCCGGAGACAAUUCCGAUUGGGCAUCUUUACAACAUGUUCUAUAACAUGGGGUACACGGAGGCGCUUGUCUCCGUCGCAAAGUUCAAGAAGUCCUGCUUGCCGCCGCAGUGGAACGGCAUGUUCACAGUCCUCUUCAAGGGCUUGUCUGAACGGAGCUCAGGAUCUGAUGGUGCUAGUCGACUGUUCUUGUCGAUUAUGUACGCAGUUUACAACGGCGUCAACCUCGACUUUGGGUUGGUCCUCUGGCAACAGCUCAUCCAGAGCCUUUCUUCUUCAUCACGACAUUCUGAGGUGUCGUUUGCCCAGUUUUGGAUUCUAAUCACCAAAUGGGCGAUGGAUAAGUUGGAUAUCCCUACUGCUGCUGGUGCAGUGAUGUCUUCGGUCGGUACUUUUCAUACCACCAAGAUAAUCGUUUCUAAUGCAUCCAGGUUCUCUUUUAUUGGCUCCAUUCCGGAGACCAUGUAUGGCGACGUCCCAUCCGACNNNNNNNNNNNNNNNNNNNNNNNNNNNNNNNNNNNNNNNNNNNNNNNNNNNNNNNNNNNNNNNNNNNNNNNNNNNNNNNNNNNNNNNNNNNNNNNNNNNNAGGAGGAUCGACUUCUGAUGAACCUCCAUCCAACGAUGCUUCUGUUGAGGGGGAGCCAAACUCACAAGUCGAGGGGGAGCCAAGCUCACAUGUCGAGGGGGAGCCAAACUCUACAAUUGCAAUCGAAAGUGCUUCUCCAACCGAAAGUGCUUCUCCAUCCGAAGGUGCAUCAAUGCCUGCAAGUCCAGCACCACAAGAAACCUCUGAACCUCAAGUUUCUCAAAGCUCAUCAAUAGAGGGGGAGCAUGAUGAUAUGAUGCUCGACUACGAUAGCCAGUCCGAGCCAGAAGAAAUGAUCAAUGCUGAACUAGACCCAACCUUUGAUCCAAAUUAUCCUCCUCUUACCAAAUGGACCAGAGAUCAUCCUAUCUCUCAAGUGGUUGGUGAUGUCUCUGAAAAGGUUCUGACCCGAUCACAACUGAAGGCAAAACAGACAUCCUUAUUUUCAAAGGUUGAGUUUUGUAUGUUUAACUCAUUCGUAUCAAAAGUUGAACCGAAGACAGUUAACACUGCCCUUGAUCACUCUGAUUGGGUUCAAGCAAUGCAAGACGAACUAAACGAAUUUGAAAGGAACAAAGUCUGGCGCCUCAUUCCAACUCCUCCAGAUGCUUCGGUUGUUGGUCUCAAAUGGGUCUUUAGGAACAAAAUGGACAAGGAAGGGAAUGUAAUAAGGAACAAAGCUCGCCUGGUAGUAAAGGGAUAUUGUCAGGAGGAAGGGAUUGAUUAUGAAGAAACUUUCGCUCCUAUAGCUAGGCUGGAAUCUGUAAGAAUAUUUCGUGCUUAUGCUGCCCACAAAAACUUUGAAGUUUUCCAAAUGGACGUCAAGUGUGCAUUUCUUAAUGGAGAACUCGAAGAAACCGUGUAUGUGGAGCAACCUCCUGGGUUCGUGAACGAAAAGUAUCCAAACCAUUGCUAUAUUCUGGAUAAAGCUGUGUAUGGCCUUAAACAAGCUCCGAGAGCCU
rnacentral:lncRNA from 1 species